rnacentral:rRNA from 1 species
UACGUAGGGUCCGAGCGUUGUCCGGAGUUACUGGGCGUAAAGCGCGCGCAGGUGGUUCACUAAGCCCGGCGUGAAAGCCCCCGGCUCAACCGGGGAGGGUCGUCGGGGACUGGUGAACUUGAGGGCGGCAGGGGCUGGUGGAAUCCCCGGUGUAGUGGUGAAAUGCGUAGAGAUCGGGGGGGAACACCCGUGGCGAAGGCGGCCAGCUGGGCCGUCCCUGACACUGAGGCGCGAAGGCGUGGGGAGCGAACAGG